UUGUCCAUCCACUUAUCAAGUAUAGCUCGUUGACUUUGGGUUGGACAGGUUGUUAACAUCAGAAUAAUCUGGUAGAGAAUAUUACUUAAUUUUCUAAAAUUAAAAAUAAUUCUUAAGUUUGUGAGCCAAUCUAUGUAAUCAGUUUCGAUUAAUCGGUUGAUAUCUAAGAUUUGAGCUAGAGGGUUAGAACCUGAUACAAUAAAUAAUAGAGAGAAAAGAUUCUAAUUGGAUGUUUGUAC
rnacentral:lncRNA from 1 species